rnacentral:rRNA from 1 species
UAAUACAUGCAAGUCGAACGAGCUUCCGUUGAAUGACGUGCUUGCACUGAUUUCAACAAUGAAGCGAGUGGCGAACUGGUGAGUAACACGUGGGUAACUUGCCCAGAAGCAGGGGAUAACACUUGGAAACAGGUGCUAAUACCGUAUAACAACAGAAACCGCAUGGUUUCUGUUUGAAAGGUGGUUUCGGCUAUCACUUCUGGAUGGACCCGCGGCGUAUUAGUUAGUUGGUGAGGUAAAGGCCCACCAAGACAAUGAUACGUAGCCGACCUGAGAGGGUAAUCGGCCACAUUGGGACUGAGACACGGCCCAAACUCCUACGGGAGGCAGCAGUAGGGAAUCUUCCACAAUGGACGAAAGUCUGAUGGAGCAAUGCCGCGUGAGUGAAGAAGGGUUUCGGCUCGUAAAACUCUGUUGUUAAAGAAGAACACUCUUGAGAGUAACUGUUCAGGAGUUGACGGUAUUUAACCAGAAAGCCACGGCUAACUACGUGCCAGCAGCCGCGGUAAUACGUAGGUGGCAAGCGUUGUCCGGAUUUAUUGGGCGUAAAGCGAGCGCAGGCGGUUUCUUAAGUCUGAUGUGAAAGCCUUCGGCUUAACCGGAGAAGUGCAUCGGAAACUGGGAGACUUGAGUGCAGAAGAGGACAGUGGAACUCCAUGUGUAGCGGUGGAAUGCGUAGAUAUAUGGAAGAACACCAGUGGCGAAGGCGGCUGUCUAGUCUGUAACUGACGCUGAGGCUCGAAA